rnacentral:tRNA from 1 species
GCCGUUGUAGCUCAGUCGGUAGAGCAGCACCAUGGUAAGGUGAAGGUCGACAGUUCGAUUCUGUUCAAUGGCAUCA